UGGAUAGUCACGGUUGGGACCAGGAAGACAGCAAAACAUGUGACACCUGUUUAGAUGAGAAGUUGCUGUUGGGUAAAGGCGCUCGUGUGAUGUUGAUUAAAAACGUAGAUGUUGCUGAUGGUCUUUUGAAUGGGGUAUGUGGCACAGUAAGUGAUAUUGUUUAUCAGUCUGGUUGUAAGUUUCCUCAGUUGGUUUAUGUUAAGUUUGAUGAUGAUAGAGUUGGUGCCCAGUGGAGGAAAACCAGUGCACAUACCCCGCCAGUGGUAGCUGGCUCUACAGGGAUCAUGCCCGAAGAGGAAAGAGCCACAGGUAAAGGUGGGAUGCGCCAGCAAUUUCCACUGAAACUUGCCUGGGCGUGUACAGCACAUAAAACACAGGGCAUCACUGUCGAUGAAGCAGUGGUGUCUCUUGAGAAAAUAUUUGCUCCAGGACAGGCCUAUGUUGCUUUGAGUCGUGUUAGGACUCUAUCAGGAUUGGUGAUUCAGGAUUAUGCAGACAAGGCCAUAUUUUGCAACGCCCGAAUUAGGAUGCACUUCAAAGCAUGCCUCAAUUUUUAACUGAAAAUGUGCUCAGGCCCAACUUGGAGGCAAAUACUUUCUCUGUGUUUUUGAUGAAUGUGCAGGGUUUAUCUGGACAUGUUGCAGACUUAGAAUCAUGUACACAGUAUUUGCAGCUUAACUGUAUUGCUGUGACAGAAACAUGGCUGCCUGCAGAUUCUUCACUAGAAUCGGUCCAGAUAGAUGGUUUUAGUUUCCAUAGUUGUCCUCGGCGUCUAUCGUACAGUAGUACUAAUCCAGUACUAGUGGAACUACAGGGACAGCAACAUGGUGGCGUUGGUCUGUACUGUAGUAAUAGCCUCUUCUUCGAAGUUGUUCAGGCACCAAACAUGAACUUGGAGUGUUUGGUUUGUGCCUGUGAUACUGCUGACAUUGCGUUGGCGGUGAUUUAUCGACCGCCAUCAUACCCCAUGUCUUUGUUCAAAGACAGUCUCAGCACGUUGGAGUGGUUGGACUCCUUGGAUAAAACCGUGGCUGUAAUUGGGGACUUUAAUGAUGAUGUUUUAACAUCUUCAUCUAUUUCUGGCUUCAUGGUAGACAAAGGGUUUGUGCAGUAUGUGACCCAACCCACAACAGAGAGAGGCACACUGAUUGACCACGUGUACGUCAAAACAUUGGUUUAUGAUGUAGAGUCAGUAGUGUUGCCUGUUUAUUUUAGUGACCAUGAAGGGGUUUUGUGCAGUUUUAGGCUGAUCAGUUAGGUUUAGAGUUAGGCAAAGGUUUAGGGUUAGGUUUAGAGGGAUGUGUAGCAUUGUGGAAUGUAGGUGUUACGUGUGUUAAGGGCCUUUCGCACAGGACUCGGCAGACACGUCAGGUAACGUACAUUGUCACCAUUACUCAUUUACUGAUUAGAAAUGUUUGUUUUCAAUUGUAAUUGUUUUCUGCAUAUUUAUUCUCUCCUCCCCUCCAAUUCAAUAAAAUGAGGAAUCUGCUGAGGCCCUACCCUUGAGGACACCUCUGUCAGCCAAAGAGCAUCUUCAACAACCACCUGCAGCUGCUUCUCCUCUCCCGCUGGUGAAGUUCCCUGGCAGUACACCUGAAUUUGGCAGACGUGUCAGUUCAAUAAAAGGAGGAAUCUGCUAUGGUCCUACUCUGGAAAAGCCCCCUGCGGGUUCGGGGAGGACGGGAGAAUAGGACCGCUGUAUUCCCUGUAUGUCGUAAGAGGCGACUAAAAGGGAUGGCGUCUUUGCCGUGGUCUGCGACCUGAGUCGGUGGGGAAGGGGGUCCUGAUGAUUGAGUGGAUGGUGUGGCUGCGGUCCUCCUGAAGCAACACGUCGUUUUGGCCCUGGAUUCGCUUAUUCAGGAGGUUUAUGUGGGCCUGGUAUAAACCAAUCAGCUGGUGGUGUCUAGCACCUAGGAUACCAUUUAAAUUUCCUAUAUGUUCGGUCUAUAUGUUUUUGUCUUUAGGGUUUUUAUGAUGUUUCCGCUUGGCUCUCUAACAUCUGACGCCAGGGCUUGGGUGCUUCCGGGUGUCCUCCCUCGAAAAUUCCAGUUGUCCCGCGAUCAAGUGGUACCAAAAUGUAUCCGGGUAAAGAAAAGCUGUUGUACAAGGGAACUGUCGAGGGCUUAAGCCUAAUUUUGAAGGACUUAAGUGUCAUUUCAUUGAUCAUAAUCCAUAUGCCAUUUGUUUACAUGACACCUUAUUAUUCCCCGGGCGCCUAAAGGCGACUUCUGCUCCUAACUGGCAAUUAGGAUGGGUAAAAUGCAGUAGAUACAUUUCACUGUGCAGGGAACAUGUUCCUUUGUGCAUAUGACAAUAAAAUUCUCUUGAAUCUUGAACCUUUUCUACAGGACUGUGAUAAUGUUUAGUUUGGUGGUUACGUUAUGUUUCCUGAAACGAGUGCUUUUUUGGCAGACUGCAGACCUGUUGGGGGUUCCUCUAUGUUGCUUAAGAACGGUAUUUCGCAAGUAGCUGGUGAAUGUUAAGAAACUGUUUGACACUUAUGUGUUGGUAGUGUCGUUAAUUUCUUAUCAAUCAAUCAACCUACUCUGGAAGACUCCUCUGCCAACCAAAGAGCAUCUUCAACUACCACCUGCAGCUACUUCUCCUCUCCCACUGGUGAUGUUCCCUGGCAGUACACGUGGAAUCGGCAAUGAGGAAUCUGCUAAGGUCCUACCCUGGAAGACAUCUCCCAACCAAAGACCAUUUUCAACUACUGCCUGCAGCUAUUUCUCCUCUCCCGCUGGUGAUGUUCCCUUGUAAUACACCUGAACAUCUGCCGUCUCUGCAACCCACACCUGGUGCUCCUCAUCUAAAACGUCUUCAAAACAACGGCUCUUUUAAGAGCCACAAUCAUUUUUGAAAGAGCUGUUUCCCAUUAAAUGUCAACAUAAGUUUUUUUUCAAGUUAUUACGGUUAUUCUCAAGUGAUUACUACAUUUGAAGCAAUAACAG